AAGUUUGUUCUUGAAACCUUAUGGGAUCUGUAAUUUGUGCAACUUUGGAGCUUGAUAAUUUUUUCCCUCAACUUUGAAGCUUGAUAAAGUUUUUUAUUUUCUUAAAAAUAUUUGGUAAAAUAAAUAUUUUUUUAUCUUUUAUUUUCUUUGACGGAAUUAACUAUUCUAGUUAAAUUUACAGGUUUUGAUUGAGUUUUCAUAGACCCAACAUCUUUAUUUCAAGUUUGGUGUAUGGAAGAACGCUCUGGUCAGUAUGCUUUCUUGUACUCCUAAUUUUCUACUGAAGCAGUCUUACUUGGUGGGUUCUUUCUGAUUCUGAUUCUAAGUUUCUUAUUUCUUUUGACUUUUUUUAAUUUU